rnacentral:rRNA from 1 species
AACGCUAUUUACAGGCUUAACACAUGCAAGUCGAGGGGCUGCAUUUUAGUUUGCUUGCAAACUGAAGAUGGCGACCGGCGCACGGGUGAGUAACACGUAUCCAACCUGCCGAUAACUCCGGGAUAGCCUUUCGAAAGAAAGAUUAAUACCGGAUAGCAUACGAAUAUCGCAUGAUAUUUUUAUUAAAGAAUUUCGGUUAUCGAUGGGGAUGCGUUCCAUUAGUUUGUUGGCGGGGUAACGGCCCACCAAGACUACGAUGGAUAGGGGUUCUGAGAGGAAGGUCCCCCACAUUGGAACUGAGACACGGUCCAAACUCCUACGGGAGGCAGCAGUGAGGAAUAUUGGUCAAUGGGCGCGAGCCUGAACCAGCCAAGUAGCGUGAAGGAUGAAGGCUCUAUGGGUCGUAAACUUCUUUUAUAUGGGAAUAAAGUUUUCCACGUGUGGAAUUUUGUAUGUACCAUAUGAAUAAGGAUCGGCUAACUCCGUGCCAGCAGCCGCGGUAAUACGGAGGAUCCGAGCGUUAUCCGGAUUUAUUGGGUUUAAAGGGAGCGUAGGUGGAUUGUUAAGUCAGUUGUGAAAGUUUGCGGCUCAACCGUAAAAUUGCAGUUGAAACUGGCAGUCUUGAGUACAGUAGAGGUGGGCGGAAUUCGUGGUGUAGCGGUGAAAUGCUUAGAUAUCACGAAGAACUCCGAUUGCGAAGGCAGCUCACUAGACUGUCCCUGACACUGAUGCUCGAAAGUGUGGGUAUCAAACAGGAUUAGAUACCCUGGUAGUCCACACAGUAAACGAUGAAUACUCGCUGUUUGCGAUAUACAGUAAGCGGCCAAGCGAAAGCAUUAAGUAUUCCACCUGGGGAGUACGCCGGCAACGGUGAAACUCAAAGGAAUUGACGGGGGCCCGCACAAGCGGAGGAACAUGUGGUUUAAUUCGAUGAUACGCGAGGAACCUUACCCGGGCUUAAAUUGCAACAGAAUAUAUUGGAAACAGUAUAGCCGUAAGGCUGUUGUGAAGGUGCUGCAUGGUUGUCGUCAGCUCGUGCCGUGAGGUGUCGGCUUAAGUGCCAUAACGAGCGCAACCCUUAUCUUUAGUUACUAACAGGUUAUGCUGAGGACUCUAGAGAGACUGCCGUCGUAAGAUGUGAGGAAGGUGGGGAUGACGUCAAAUCAGCACGGCCCUUACGUCCGGGGCUACACACGUGUUACAAUGGGGGGUACAGAAGGCGGCUACCUGGUGACAGGAUGCUAAUCCCAAAAACCUCUCUCAGUUCGGAUCGAAGUCUGCAACCCGACUUCGUGAAGCUGGAUUCGCUAGUAAUCGCGCAUCAGCCAUGGCGCGGUGAAUACGUUCCCGGGCCUUGUACACGCCGCCCGUCAAGCCAUGAAAGCCGGGGGUACCUGAAGUACGUAACCGCAAGGAGCGUCCUAGGGUAAAACUGGUAAUUGGGGC